rnacentral:lncRNA from 1 species
CUUUACAUCAUGUUAUUUCUGGCUCACAACUUGCUGACAUUUUUACAAAGCCCUUGACAGGUCUCCUGCAUCAUUCAUUCUUGCCCAAGCUGGGUGUUCAUCCACCCUCCAGCUUGAGGGGGGGGUGUUGAGAUAUUGGGCUCAACUCAACUGCAGCCCAAUCUGAAGAACAAACAAACAGCAACAGAUAUUACAUAAGUAGCCAUUUUAAGACAUUGUAAAUAUAGCCAUUCUUUAUUUAAUACAUACACUUGUAUACACACACACACACAGAUUUUUGAUUUUAUUUUUUGUGUAUUUUUGAUAUAAGCGAGGGGUCAGUUUGUAUUGGAAGAUUCGAGAAAAAUACACAAAACACCUUUCAGAAUUCUCUCCCUUCUCUCUCUUCGAUACUGUUCACCGUCUCUUUUCUUCUCCAAAUCCAUGGCUUCCAUGGACAUUAACA